ensembl:lncRNA
AUGUUGAAAAUGGACUUUUCCUGUUUGGUUGGAGAGAGAAAAGCAUAUCUAAACUCUUUUGUCAGUUCAGCUUUGUUUUUACUGAUUUUUCUACUUUUUCUUCAGGCAGCAGAUGAGCCUGCCUACCUAACAGUGGGGACUGAUGUCAGUGCCAAAUAUCGGGGUGCUUUCUGUGAGGCAAAAAUUAAGACAGUGAAAAGGCUAGUGAAAGUUAAGGUGAUCUUAAAGCAAGAUAAUUCAACACAAUUGGUGCAAGAUGAUCAGGUGAAAGGACCUUUGAGGGCUGGUGCAGUUGUUGAAACCAAGAUGCCUGAUGGAACCUUUCAAGAAGCUAUCAUCAGUAAAUUGACAGAUGCCAGCUGGUAUACUGUGGUUUUUGAUGAUGGUGAUGAGAGGACAUUGAGACGGACCUCACUGUGUUUGAAGGGGGAGAGGCACUUUGCUGAAAGCGAGACACUUGACCAACUGCCACUAACAAAUCCAGAGCACUUUGGAACACCUGUAAUUGGAAAGAAGUCCAACAGAGGAAGAAGGUCGUCUCUUCCUGUCAAUGAAGAUGAAAAAGAAGAAGAAACUAGUGAAGAGGAAGAGGAAGAUAAGAGACGUCUUAAUGAUGAAUUGCUUGGUAAAAUUGUCAGUGUGGUAUCCAGUACUGAAAAGGUCUUAUCCCCCAGCUGCAGUGAUGACAUUUUAGUGAAAAAGGACCAGUGUUUAGUUCGUUCUUUUGCAGAUUCCAAAUUUUAUUCAGUAGCAAGAAAGGACGUUGAAGAAUUAGAUUUUAGAAACUCAGAACUGCCUUCUAAUAAAGGGGUACAAGAGGCAAGCUCUUUCUUCCAUUGGAAAGCCAUUCCUUCUAUUUGGAAGAUGGACAUGCGUGAAAUCUUGGAAUCCUCCAGCAGUGAUGAAGAAGAUGGAGGAGAGACAGGAAGUAAUGAUGAUGAAGAAGAAAAAGGAGAACAAAAAGAGGAAGAACUUGAUCCUGAAGAGAGGGACAAUUUCCUCCAGCAGCUUUACAAGUUUAUGGAAGACAGAGGAACUUCUAUCAAUAAACCACCUGUUUUGGGCUAUAAGGAUCUUAACCUCUUCAAACUUUUCAGACUGGUAUAUCAGCAGGGUGGGUGUGACAAUAUUGAUAGUGGAGCUGUUUGGAAACAAAUUUAUAUGGACCUUGGCAUUCCUAUUUUGAAUUCAGCUGCUUCCUACAAUGUGAAAACUGCGUAUAGAAAGUAUCUUUAUGGUUUUGAAGAAUACUGUCGUUCUGCAAACAUUCAGUUCCGAACCAUCCACCACAAUGAACCAAAAAUAAUUGUAGUACAGAAAAAAGAAGAGCAAAUGGAGGAAAAGGUAAAAGAAGAGCCUGAAAUGUCUCCUGUAGAGAUUCAGAAUGAGAUGGAAGAAAACAACUGUAGCAGUGAAAGUGAAAAAGAAGAACUGGAACAGAGGUCUCAACGGGGACGAAGAAGACAUAUCCGUGAUGCGUCUCUUGUUAAAAAAGAAGGUGAAGAUGAUAAAAUACAAGAUAAGCUAAAAGACAGCAACAAGGAGAAUAAAGACAUAGAAGAGAUUUCCAGUAAUGUAGAGAAGAUUGAAAAUGAUAUGGCACUUGCAAACAGAAAGACUACACCAAAGCAAAAGGAAAAGAGGGCAAAACAGGAAGAGGAAUCUGACAGGGAGUCAGAUGAAGAGGAAGAGAGAAGCAGGGAAGAACUUGAAAAUCGAGAAUCGGAAGGGGAAGAAUGUGAAGAAGAUGCAGAGCCUUGUCUUACAGGAACCAAAGUAAAAGUAAAAUAUGGCCGUGGUAAAACACAGAAAAUCUAUGAAGCUAGUAUUAAAAGUACAGAAAACGAUGACGGAGAGAUUUUGUAUUUGGUGCAUUAUUAUGGCUGGAAUGUUAGAUAUGAUGAAUGGGUAAAAGCUGAUAGGAUUAUUUGGCCUGCAGAAAAAGGAGGACCAAAGAAGAAGCAAAAGAAAAAAACAAAAGUAAAAGACUCUGAAAAAGAUGAAAAGAAAGAGGAAGAAAAACAAAAGGGAAAGCGUGGACGUCCUCCUCUGAAAUCAACUCUUCUAUCAAAUCUCUCUUGUGGUCUGUCUAAAACUCCUAAUAGUGACAGCAAAUCAGGGGUGCGAAGUGCACGCAGCAGCUUGCUGGAUUGUUCACCCUUGCUUAAUGGGACAGAAGGUAUGCCUCGCAGGCAAACAAGACGUAGCUCAGGAAUGUUGGAUUCUGACAGAGGGUCAAAUGACUCAGUUUCAUCAGAUAGUGAAGCAGAUGAAGCUUCUGAAAAGAACAUUAAUGAAGAAUUUUCUCCAGCAAGUUUUGAAAUGGAAAAUGAAAAACGAACAGUUGAUAAGCCUGUUGAAGAGAUUGCAAAGAUCUCACAAAUGCUAAAAGAGAAUGAUCAGAAUCAAGUUCAUCCUUUAGAAAAAUUGAAAUUAGAAAGUGAAGAGAGUGAACAAGUGGUUCAGAAUUGUGGAAGUAAAAAUGAUCAAAUAGAAGAAGUGAAAAGAGAGGUGGAGAAAUCACCUAAAGGAAAAGGCCGGAAGAACCGAACAAGAGAUUCUUUCCUAGAGAAUUCAAAGAUUACGUUACUAAAUCAGGAAGAAACAACCAAUGAACCUGUUGCAGAAUCUGAACGAUUAAAUAUUUCUUCCUUGGAAAAUAAAGGUUUGAGCUCUAAUUCUGAGAAUGAAACAGAUCUCUGGGCAAAAGAUAAGAAGCUUAUGAAAAGAAAAGUGAUAGAACAGCCAUCACCUGACAAAAGGAUACGACAAGAGGGUGAGCUCACUGUGCCACAUAUUGUGACUGAAGAGAAGGCAAAUGAAUGUUAUGGGGCAGAAGAAUGUAAGGAUUUCACUGCUGAUGAGUCUCUUCGAAAUGAGAAUGAAGAAAUGCCAUCAUUGGUGGCAGAAUCAGAUCAACGGCUCCAUGUUAGGGGAAGUGAACCCUUUGAUUGUUCUUCAGAGGAAAACCGUAGCACACUGUUGAAAGAUGAAGAUGACUCCAUGCCUCAAAUUGGUCCUGAAACUCUUCUUUGCCAUGAAGUAGACUUGGAUGAUCUUGAUGAAAAGGACAAGAAUGGGCCUGAAAGUUUGGUUGCAGAAAAGCAUGAUGGUAGUAACCUCACUUCAAAUCCCCCUAUGUUACCUUCUGUGAUCCAGCCAAAUUUCUCUGUUGCCUCACCUCUAAUGUUCAGUCAGGAUGAAUCACCAAGCAUAAAAAGUGAAAGUGACAUGACUAUUGAAGUGGACAGUAUAGCUGAAGAGUCUCAAGAAGGCCUUUGCGAGAAUGAAUCUGCCAAUGGGUUUGAAGCUUCCAGCAACUGUAGCAUAGCUGGUCCAGAAAUUGGAGAAAAGGGACAAAAAAGGCCUGGGGAUAACAGUGGUAGUUCACUGGCAAAGCGGCAAAAGCGUACCCCCAAACGAGCAAGUACGAUAGCCAAAAGUGAGAAAAAUGGGACAGGGCAAAGCAGUGAUAGUGAAGAUCUUCCUGCCCUUGACAGCUCAAGUAAAUGUACUCCUGUAAAGCAUAUUGGUGUAACGAAGCCACAGAAACUCAAUCGAUCGCCUGCCAGAGGGGUAUCUCCUAAUAUCAAAGAUGGGGAUAAGGAGAAACAGAGAGAGAAGAACCAUCAUGUUUCUCCAAGAGUGUACAAAUGGACUGUCCAGCUUAGUAAGUCCUUUUAUGCAUCAGGAAAAUGCAAAAUAAAUCUUGCACACUGGGGUCAAAACACAAAGUAUUUGAAAUGCUGA